GCCACUGCGCCCAACCCAGAACUAUUUUAAGCAGGCCAAUCUUUGUAUUGUUUGGGCCACACACACGAUUCAGCCAGGGGGUGGGGGGCCUUUCACGUCUCUUCUCAUGGCCCGGGCCCUGUCAGCGGCAUUCACCUGUGUGGUAGGAGCCAUCGGCUGUGGGAACUCUGUGGAAGUGGCUAGCCUUGCACAUCCUCUGAUCAUGUUGACUUCAUCAGGGUGCGAGAAGCACUUGAGCUUGGCGUCGGUGAGUUCCCUAAGCCUCUUUUGCGUGUGUUGCAGCUCAUGCCAGUUACUAUGGGAGAAUGAAUGUGAGAGAGGUUCUCAGAGAGGAUGGCCACCUCAGUGUAAAUGGGGAAGCGCUGUGCGACGACUGUAAGGGCAAGAGGCACCUCGACGCGCACACAGCCGCCCACUCGCAGUCGCCACGGCCGCCCGGUCGGGCAGGGACCCUCUGGCACAUCUGGGCAUGUGCAGGUUGUCUCUCGCCCCGUCUCCGUCUCAUCUCGCCCUGUCUCCGUCUCAUCUCGCCCUGUCACCAUGCUAUUUGUGUCUUGUGUGGUUUGUGCUUGGAAU
rnacentral:lncRNA from 1 species